CGCGUGUACUGGUCCGGCCGGGCCUUUCCUUCUGGAGAUCCCCAUGCCCUUCACUGGGUGUGCGGGGGAACCAGGACUUUUACUUUGAAAAAAUUAGAGUGUUCAAAGCAGGCCUUUGCUCGAAUACGUUAGCAUGGAAUAAUAGAAUAGGACGUGCGGUCCUAUUUUGUUGGUUUCUAGGACCGCCGUAAUGAUUAAUAGGGAUAGUCGGGGGCAUCAGUAUUCAAUUGUCAGAGGUGAAAUUCUUGGAUUUAUUGAAGACUAACUACUGCGAAAGCAUUUGCCAAGGAUGUUUUCAUUAAUCAAGAACGAAAGUCAGAGGAUCGAAGGCGAUUAGAUACCGCCCUAGUUCUGACCGUAAACGAUACCAUCUAGCGAUCCGAUAGGGUCUAUCUAGCCUUGUCGGGGAGCUUCCCGGAAACGAAAGUCUUUCGGUUCCGGGGGUAGUAUGGUUGCAAAGCUGAAACUUAAAGAAAUUGACGGAAGGGCACCACCAGGAGUGGAGCUUGCGGCUUAAUUUGACUCAACACGGGAAAACUCACCCGGUCCGGACACCGUAAGGAUUGACAGACUGAUAGCUCUUUCUUGAUUCGGUGGUUGGUGGUGCAUGGCCGUUCUUAGUUGGUGGAGUAAUUUGUCUGGUUUAUUCCGUUAACGAACGAGACCUUAACCUGCUAACUAGUUACUCUUAUGUAAAUAGGAGGCUAACUUCUUAGAGGGACUUUGUG
rnacentral:rRNA from 1 species